rnacentral:tRNA from 1 species
GAAAUUUUAGUUUAAUAAAAAUAUUUCAUUUACAAUGAAGAGAUUUUAUAAUGGAAAAAAUUUCA